CCCUCAAUUUUUAGUCUAAAGAUUUUAGACAAAAGUAUAGUUUUGUACACGAAAAAAUAUGGUAAUUCAUCAGGCGGCUUGGGAUAGAAUCAAGUAGGCGAGGUCUGCUUUUGGGAUCUGUUUUUGGCUCACGAAACCCCUUUGAGAAUCUGAUGAAAACUAUUGACCCCCGCUUCCCCAGAGACAUGGACAUGAAACACACUCACAAUUUUUGGAAUGUUUAUUUUAUGCCCCCCCCCAAAAAAGUUAAAAGAAAAAUUGUGGUGGGGGUGUACCCAGUUUCCCGCACCCACCCCUGGGAACCUAUCCGUGGGCUCCAUGAAUCGGAAGGUUAAGAACCUCUGGGUUAAUUGGAUUCUGCUCUAUGGGGAUUUUCUAGCCAUAGUUUCCUGUUCGGGGUACAAAACUGUGACACCUUUGCUGCUCAUGAUAAUGGGGAUGUUUAAUAGGUAGACCAGUCCUGCGGAAGGUGGGCUUUGCCAGGUGAAACGGCAACAGGGUCUCCAGCUGCCUUGAUUGUGGGAGAAUCAACUCUUCCCAGUCUAGGCUGAGUUCCCUGUACCGAAGUUCUGAAAUGGGUGGGUUUGGUUCCAGUGGGGUGGCUUCUGGAAAGGGACAGGGCAACUCCUCAACCUGAAUAUUUAGGUGUGUGUGUGUUGCUGUGCCUGGUUGGAGAUCCAUGGCAGUAGGGUUUUUGGUCGGGGUGGAAUGGGAGGGGGGAAGGAUAACGGAAUGACAAUCAGGAAGGACUGGAGAGUAUGUUCCUUGCCUCUUUUCUUACAGGGAUGAAAUUCAGUCUAAAAUUCAUUUCACCUGCCGUUGUCCAUGUCUUUGCUUUUUUCAUGUUCUUUUCAUAAUGACACUGUUCUUAUUCAAGAAUGAUCCGUUCUUAGGUUGUGCCUCUGGGGGAUGCAAGUCUCUCAGCAAAAGCAGCCGAGGAAAAAAAAGCACCCUUUUUCUCGUUGCAGUGAGAUUUGUCGGUAUGACUUUGUCCCCUGCCCGCAAGAAAUCUCUCAGGAUUUCUCAGAAAGCUUGUCCUCUUUUCUUUCCUGGGAGAAAUGCCAAACUGUGCGGGGUUGUUGCAGGGCCUGCCCAGAAUGGUAUAUAUCCUGCGCAGGAGUUGUCUGGAAAGGGGAGAAUAAACUGUGUGCUAUGCAGAAUUGUUCAAAUUCCUAAGCAGGAGGGGCCUCGAUCCUGAACAGGAUUCCUCGGAAAUGGGUUUAAGUUGCAGAAAAUGCGAUGCUUCCUUCGGCACAAUCGCUAGGGGAAUUCGGUGGACGGAGGUUAAAAACUGAGGUUGAAGGCUGCCUUCUGUGGAAAGCUGGGAAAUCUCUCAGAUACAGGGAAAAAGUUUUCCCGUUCUGUUUUGGUUUUCCUCCAAAAGUUGUUCAGCAUUUUAUACCCAGGAAACGUGCACUGUUCUGGAUCGUUCCCGGAGGCCCUCCUUGCACAUCCCCCCCUUCUUAAAAAAAUUUAUUUCCCCUGUUAUGUAUUUCCAAGCACUUAAGAGUUCUCUAACCCAGCUGAUACCUCCCACAGGAGUGUGGGUGACAGAAGCUGGAAAAGUCGCUUUUCUGCACUACGAGUGUCCCUGCAGAACAUAGGGUGUGGAUUGUACGAAGCAGGGUAGCGCGAGAGGCAAGCAACCCAGAGAAGCUAUGGAACAGCAUGAUACUGUUCAGGCCCAUUCAGAAGUAAAUCCUAUUGUCUUCAUUAGGGGGUCACAUUCACAUAAAGGCAUAUCAGAGGGCACUUUCUGGGUGAUUUUGAGAGCUGUAACUUUUAAAGAAAAAUUUAAUGAUUUUUUUAGCUUGGCUAAAAAAUGGAGAUUUUUACUGGUGCAACCGUGGAUUGUCACAUACACACACACACUGGCUGGGUAGCUCAUUGAGUUACGUAACUGGCUGUGGCCCCAGAACUGCUGUCCGGUGUCUUCCAGUCCUCUCACUAGCCGGACACCCUGUGGCCAUCUCCAGACGGCUGAUUUCCUGGGGUCUCAUUCCCAUCUGAGUGAUUGGUCAGUUCUAUGUUAGAAGAGAUGGAGAGGAAGGCUGUUGCUCGGCAACUGGGAAGCAGCAUCGGGCUAGUUGCUGGGCAACCGCCAAGCGCUCCUCCUUGGUGCAAGAACCCAACUUUUCCUUCCACAUCUUCAUUCUUUUAUGUUUCUGCAUUUUUACACGUUGGGCAAGAGACCAGUCUUGGCCAUCUGUUGAAAGAAUGAUCACGUAAUAACCUUGGUGGGUGACGGAAGCCAGACGAGCAGUGGACAGCUUGCUAUGAACUGUACCCUCGGCUCAUCCUCUCGGUUGCACAUGUCCACAGCUCUCACCUAAUGAAGCCAGUUAUGACCCAUCG